AUGGAUUUCUUUUAUUAUUUUAAAAUUCUUUUAAAAAGGAGGCAUUGGGAGACGUGAGACUUCUCAUCUCCCCAAAGAAGAAAAACCCUAGCCGCCGCCACUCUCCGCGCCGCCGCCGCACGCCGCCGCCAGCUUCAAACACAAACCUCGGAGCCGGCCGUAGUAGAGCCGAACCACCCUCCCAGCCGCGCCUCGUCUGCAAGCCGAAGCCGGAACUCGCCGAGACAGCCGAAGCCAAUCAGCCGCGCGUCUGCAAGUCGAAACCGAGCCGUCGCCGAGCUUCCAGCCGCGUCGGAAGAAUCGAUCAAGCCGAUCCGCGCAGCCGAGCGCCGUGUCUGCAGCCGAAACUCGCCGCGCCGCGUCGAUCUGAGGAAGAGCAGCCAGCCACGCCGCGCCGCGUAGAUCCGCGUGUGAGCCGCGCCCGCGUGUGAAGCCGCGCCGCGCGCUUCCGCGUAGCCGAGCCGCGUCUCCCUCCUGUUGCAAGCCGAGCCGCACGCGUAAAUUCCUGUUGCAAGCCGAGCCGCACGCGUAGAUCCCUGUACCGAGCCGAGCCGCGCCUGCGCCAAGCCGAGCCGGUCCCUGUCCUCUUCCAGCCGAGCCGCCAAGACUAAUUUGGCUCCAUCCACCUAAAUUUUGGGACGUCUUGGACCAAGUAAUUGCUGCAGCGCGGGAUUUCUUCAGUAGGGGCUCGAGCACUGCAACCUCUCUCUAGGUUAGGACCUCGUCGCUUGGAAAGCGUACUGCCUCGCGGUUAGGACUCGACAAGUAAAUCUCCAGGUAGAGGACGAGGCAAGGGCAAGGGCAAGCUGGCGAGCGACCCGAAGUGACCGUGGAGGGCCAUAGGGACUACUGCUUCCGCUUAUCUUUAUUUCAGAUUUUCGUAUUUGAGUUUGAGUACUUUUCAUUACUUAUCAUCUUUUUAUGUAGAUAGGGCCCGAGUAGGACUUUAGAACGCAUUACACCUUUUUGCCUAACUACCUUGUUUAAAUUUUCAUAAAUAAAAUUUCUUAAACCUUAUGCGUUUUAAUA